CUGGGAUGCUCCAGAGUCGGAAUUGAAAAUGGACAAGGACACUGCCACUGCCUGCUCACGUUUUCCCAGCAAUCCCAAACUGAAGAGAAGUUUUUUUUUUUUUCCCUUUCCUAGGAGGAUUUUCUUACAUGGGAUACGAGGCGAGUGAUUCCAGGCAAUUCUGGGCCACAGUGCCAGGAGGGAUUUGGGCUUGGAGCAGACCUGGAGGAUGUUGUGCUCCCCUUUGGAUGGCCACAAAACCCCGGCAGAUCACAGGCAAAGGGAACUAACUCAUUCUGAAACCUCUGGAGCUGCUGUGUGAAAUGGGAUCAUCUCCUGCA